rnacentral:rRNA from 1 species
UACGAAGGGGGCUAGCGUUGCUCGGAAUUACUGGGCGUAAAGCGCACGUAGGCGGCUUUCUAAGUCGGGGGUGAAAUCCUGGAGCUCAACUCCAGAACUGCCUUCGAUACUGGAGAGCUCGAGUCCGGGAGAGGUGAGUGGAACUGCGAGUGUAGGGGUGAAAUUCGUAGAUAUUCGCAAGAACACCAGUGGCGAAGGCGGCUCACUGGCCCGGUACUGACGCUGAGGUGCGAAAGCGUGGGGAGCAAACAGG